rnacentral:rRNA from 1 species
GACGAACGCUGGCGGCGUGCCUAAUACAUGCAAGUAGAACGCUGAAGGAGGAGCUUGCUCUUCUGGAUGAGUUGCGAACGGGUGAGUAACGCGUAGGUAACCUGCCUGGUAGCGGGGGAUAACUAUUGGAAACGAUAGCUAAUACCGCAUAAGAGUAGAUGUUGCAUGACAUUUACUUAAAAGGUGCAAUUGCAUCACUACCAGAUGGACCUGCGUUGUAUUAGCUAGUUGGUGGGGUAACGGCUUACCAAGGCGACGAUACAUAGCCGACCUGAGAGGGUGAUCGGCCACACUGGGACUGGGACACGGCCCAGACUCCUACGGGAGGCAGCAGUAGGGAAUCUUCGGCAAUGGACGGAAGUCUGACCGAGCAACGCCGCGGGAGGGAAGAAGGUUUUCGGAUCGGAAAGCUCUGUUGUAAGAGAAGAACGAGUGUGAGAGUGGAAAGUUCACACUGUGACGGUAUCUUACCAGAAAGGGACGGCUAACUACGUG